UACGUAGGGUGCGAGCGUUAAUCGGAAUUACUGGGCGUAAAGCGUGCGCAGGCGGUCUGUUAAGACAGAUGUGAAAUCUCCAGGCUCAACCUGGAGGGGUCAUUCGAUACUGCCGUGACUAGAGUUCGGUAGGGGAGUGUGGAAUUCCUGGUGGAGCGGUGAAAUGCGCAGAUAUCAGGAGGAACACCCGUAGCGAAGGCGGCACUCUGGGCCGAUACUGACACUGAGGAGCGAAAGCGUGGGGAGCGAACAGG
rnacentral:rRNA from 1 species